CGCCGGUUCUGGCCGGUCCGGCAGGUGGAGGCACCACCGCCACAACAAAAUCAUUGCUGUGUGUAGUCUUUGCCCAUCACAUCGGUGGGCACCUUUUUUA
rnacentral:misc_RNA from 1 species